rnacentral:rRNA from 1 species
GAUGAACGCUGACAGAAAGCUUAACACAUGCCAGUCAACUUGAAUUUGGGUUUUUUAACUUAGAUUUGGGUGGCGGACGGGUGAGUAACGCGUAAAGAACUUGCCUCACAGCUAGGGACAACAUUUGGAAACGAAUGCUAAUACCUGAUAUUAUGAUUAUAAGGCAUCUUAGAAUUAUGAAAGCUAUAUGCGCUGUGAGAGAGCUUUGCGUCCCAUUAGCUAGUUGGAGAGGUAACGGCUCACCAAGGCGAUGAUGGGUAGCCGGCCUGAGAGGGUGAACGGCCACAAGGGGACUGAGACACGGCCCUUACUCCUACGGGAGGCAGCAGUGGGGAAUAUUGGACAAUGGACCAAGAGUCUGAUCCAGCAAUUCUGUGUGCACGAUGACGUUUUUCGGAAUGUAAAGUGCUUUCAGUUGGGAAGAAAAAAAUGACGGUACCAACAGAAGAAGUGACGGCUAAAUACGUG